rnacentral:rRNA from 1 species
UACGUAGGGUGCAAGCGUUGUCCGGAAUUAUUGGGCGUAAAGAGCUCGUAGGCGGUUUGUCGCGUCUGCUGUGAAAACCCAGGGCUUAACCCUGGGCCUGCAGUGGGUACGGGCAAACUAGAGUGCGGUAGGGGAGAUCGGAAUUCCUGGUGUAGCGGUGAAAUGGGUAGAUAUCAGGAAGAACAUCAGUGGCGAAGGCGGCUAUCUGGCCCGUAUCUGACGCUGAGACGCGAAAGCGUGGGGAGCAAACAGG